UUAUAAGCAACUUUUCACUUUUUAGACUCAUUGAAUAAAUGAUGUAUGUGGUCUAUUAUUGAGACCACAUACAUCAUUUAUUCAAUGAACCUAAAAGGUGAAAAGUUGCUUAUAA
rfam:Medicago truncatula strain A17 chromosome 5, whole genome shotgun sequence.